rnacentral:rRNA from 1 species
CCUACGGGAGGCAGCAGUGGGGAAUAUUGCACAAUGGGCGAAAGCCUGAUGCAGCAACGCCGCGUGAGGGACGACGGCCUUCGGGUUGUAAACCUCUUUUAGUAGGGAAGAAGCGAAAGUGACGGUACCUGCAGAAAAAGCACCGGCUAACUACGUGCCAGCAGCCGCGGUAAUACGUAGGGUGCAAGCGUUAUCCGGAAUUAUUGGGCGUAAAGAGCUCGUAGGCGGUUUGUCGCGUCUGCUGUGAAAACUGGGGGCUCAACCCCCAGCCUGCAGUGGGUACGGGCAGACUAGAGUGCGGUAGGGGAGAUUGGAAUUCCUGGUGUAGCGGUGGAAUGCGCAGAUAUCAGGAGGAACACCGAUGGCGAAGGCAGAUCUCUGGGCCGUAACUGACGCUGAGGAGCGAAAGCAUGGGGAGCGAACAGGAUUAGAUACCCUGGUAGUCCAUGCCGUAAACGUUGGGAACUAGAUGUAGGGACCAUUCCACGGUUUCUGUGUCGCAGCUAACGCAUUAAGUUCCCCGCCUGGGGAGUCGGCCGCAAGGCUAAAACUCAAAGGAAUUGACGG